GGGCCCUUAGCUCAGUUGGUUAGAGCGCUUCCUUUGACACGGAAGUCACCAUUCCAAUGGAAUCAAUAACUUACAGUAAAACGCGCCCAUUAGCGCCCA
rnacentral:tRNA from 1 species